GUUUCUACAAAAAGUAAACGUGUAGUGGUGCACGCCUGUAGUUCCAGCUACUUGGGAGGCUGAGAUGGGAAGAUCACUUGAGCCUGGGAGGUUGAGGCUGCAUUGAGCUGAGAUCAAGCCACGGCACUCCAGCCUGGGAGACAGAGCGAAACCCCAUCUCAAAAAAACAAAGAAAGUGGAUGCGCGCUGCUCCUGCCAUUGGAUCAUCGCAGCAUUUUUCUUUUCUCUGAUAUGCGCCUUUUUCCUCAUCGUGGGGGCUCAUGUUUUCGUACUUUUCUCUCGCUACUAGAUUGUGAGCUGCGUGAAGGAAGGUUCAUAGUCGUGUUGUAUGUACAGGCACACAAAAUUUGUGCUUGGAUAGACACAUAUCAAUCCGCUUCCUUCUCCUCUCUGAGUUUCUUUAUUUAAAAAAAAAAUUAGAGAUGGAGUCUCACUGUCUUGCCCAGGCUGGUCUCAAACUCCUAGGCUCAAGCGAUCCUCCCGCCUCUACUAAUAUGAAUUAUUAGCCUAUACUAAUAUGAAUUCCUAUACUAAUAUGAUUGAAAUUAGUUUGACUUGUAUAAUAAUUGUUCUCCCAGAUUGGGCUUCUGUUUUGAUAGUAGAACUAAAUUAUUAGGCUAUUUCAAGAAAUUAAUAUAUUACUGGUAGAAAAACUGAAGCUACAAAAUGGCCUG
rnacentral:lncRNA from 10 species